GCUUCCUCUGAUGGAAGCCACAGUGCUGCAUGGAGAGAAGUACACCCAGGAGAGGAGCACUACACCCAGGCGUUGUCACUGCUCCAGUUUGCUGGACUGUCACCUCAGCUCUUGGCAGAAGCAAAAGUGAGUAGCAGGCUGUCUUAAGAGCACGAGGCCACGUUGCUUGGGAAUCUCAGCUCUGCACCUUUGACACGUCUUUGGUUUGCAGCUCUUUAUUGCUUUAGUAAUUUUGAAAGGAUUCCCUGCUCAAGCUGGAAGAGGCAGUUUGUAAUAACAGAGGCAAGAAACAUGCAUGAGAUUUACUUGUUUGACCAGAGAUUUGUCUCAGGAAGUCUUCAGAGCCCCAG